rnacentral:rRNA from 1 species
CCUACGCGUGGCAGCAGUGGGGAAUAUUGCACAAUGGGCGAAAGCCUGAUGCAGCAACGCCGCGUGAGCGAUGAAGGCCUUCGGGUCGUAAAGCUCUGUCCUCAAGGAAGAUAAUGACGGUACUUGAGGAGAAAGCACCGACUAACUACGUGCCAGCAGCACAGGUAAUACGUAGGGGGCUAGCGUUAUCCGGAAUUACUGGGCGUAAAGGGUGCGUAGGUGGUUUCGUAAGUCAGAGGUGAAAGGCUACGGCUCAACCGUAGUAAGCCUUUGAAACUGGGGAACGUGAGUGCAGGAGAGGAGAGUGGAAUUCCUAGGGUAGCGGUGAAAUGCGUAGAGAUUAGGAGGAACACCAGUUGCGAAGGCGGCUCUCUGGACUGUAACUGACACUGAGGCACGAAAGCGUGGGGAGCAAACAGGAUUAGAUACCCUUGUAGUC